ACACACACACAGACAUACUGACAUACACACAGACAGACGUACUGGCACAUACACACAGACAGACAUUAAAACAUUCACAGAUACAUACUGACACACACAUACACUGACACACAAAUAUAUCCUGGCAGACAUACUGACACACACGUACACACACACACAGAGACAUACCUACAUACACACACACAGACAUACUGGCAUACACACAGACAUACUGACACACACACACACACACAUACACACAGACAUACUGGCAUACACACAGACAUACUGACACACACACAGACAUACUGACACACACACACACUGACACAC